rnacentral:lncRNA from 1 species
UGACCACAAAGUGAUGGGGCACACAAGUGGAACACUUACCAUUUCAUAAGGAAUGCUUCUACGAAGAUAUAACAUUUAACCUCUAUUGAGAGAAAAUAGGAGUUUUCCAGGGCAAGGGAGUAGGGGCAGGGUGGUAAACAGCAUUUUGGGAAUGGGGAUUUCAUGUACAAAUAUGCAGAGAAUGACACAGCCAAAUAUAUUCUAAACAUGAAAUAGAUAGAAGAUGCAAAGUUGGCAAAGCAUAAUGAAAAAUGAUAUGCAAAAGGUAUUUUGACUCAAUUUACAGAGUGCCAUUCAGAAGUUAACUGAUCAAUACAAAGGGUAUCUGACUCACUCUGUGUUUUCAAGAGACAGGCUUUCCAAAAACACUGAGAAUAGACGGAGAAGAUACACUGGGGGAAGAAAAGACCAGCAAACUGCACCAGUGGGCCCCUCAUCUUGUACGUGCAUCAGGCCCAAAAACUUAAUUUCACCUCUGACUGUGAUCAACAUAUUGAUGAAGACUGGCUAUGUGGAUGCUGGAAGAUGGGGAAAACUUGUUUCAAGCUGAACAUUAUCCUUGCCAUUAACUUGCUUAAAGAGGCUGGAUUCAUCUGGGCAGUUUUCACUGCUGCAAGUUAGGCACCUUAUUCCACAAGGUGCAAGUAGCAUGGAAGAGAAAAGCAAAGUUCAUAGGCAAAACUUCCAAGAACAAAGAUCUCUGAAUUGGGAUGAAAUUCUAACUGCCAGAUUUGCUCUCUAUAUCUCUCUUGAUAUGUUUUCUACUUACUAUGGAGUGACAGUUGUUGUGGAUGGGAGGAUUGAAAAUGGGAAGAACUAAUCAAAGAUAUAAUGUUGUGGAAAGGACUGAUAAGCUACACCAACCUGUGUCAUAUUAUUCUUUUUCUUGGAGCUCAGCAUGAGAGCAGGCAAUAACAGGAGAAUAACUUUAAAAAAAUCUUUAAAACCAGACUCAUUGUCUUCAUUCCUAGGACUUACAGAGACCAAAGCUCCUGAAGUACCAUCAUUCUACCAUGGAUACUGUGAAGUGGUACCACCGUAAAUCCAUGUCCUCUAAUGUCAGCGGACUAUCAGACCCAGUCAGAGAUGGGUGGAGGUGAUCCGUACAUUCCCUACAAAUUUUGGUGCCCAACGUGGGGCAUCCUUCACUGGCUGGAACACUGCUUGCUCGAAACUGCUGCACCUGAAAUCCUGGCCCUCUGACAAAAGGCCAGCAAAGGCAAUUAACCAACACAGGCGGCCACUCCAACGGUGAACUACCAAAAAUUGAAUACCAAACCAUGUUAACUCGUCUUACAUGAGAAGAUGCGUGUGCUUUGGCUACAUAAAAUGUGAGAUUUUUGUCUCUCUUUGCAAUCUCAUUAGUGGAUUGCCUGUAACACCCAUUCCGGUCUGGUUCGAUGCUUACAGAAUAAUACACCUUUUUUUUCUUUUCUACAUUUGUGGAGAUUUUCUAGGAUGGCAGGAGAUUUUUUUAAAAUUUUUUUUCUCGACAAUAUCAAUUUAUUUAGGUCCCUUACUUUUACUAGCCACCCCCUUCCCACUUGCUUCCAAUGGCAAAUUAGAAUGGUAACUUGCCCCUU